UCGAACGAUGAAGCCUUUCGGGGUGGAUUAGUGGCGAACGGGUGAGUAACACGUGGGCAAUCUGCCCUUCACUCUGGGACAAGCCCUGGAAACGGGGUCUAAUACCGGAUAACACUCCUGCCUGCAUGGGCGGGGGUUAAAAGCUCCGGCGGUGAAGGAUGAGCCCGCGGCCUAUCAGCUUGUUGGUGGGGUAAUGGCCUACCAAGGCGACGACGGGUAGCCGGCCUGAGAGGGCGACCGGCCACACUGGGACUGAGACACGGCCCAGACUCCUACGGGAGGCAGCAGUGGGGAAUAUUGCACAAUGGGCGAAAGCCUGAUGCAGCGACGCCGCGUGAGGGAUGACGGCCUUCGGGUUGUAAACCUCUUUCAGCAGGGAAGAAGCGAGAGUGACGGUACCUGCAGAAGAAGCGCCGGCUAACUACGUGCCAGCAGCCGCGGUAAUACGUAGGGCGCAAGCGUUGUCCGGAAUUAUUGGGCGUAAAGAGCUCGUAGGCGGCUUGUCACGUCGGAUGUGAAAGCCCGGGGCUUAACCCCGGGUCUGCAUUCGAUACGGGCUANCUAAAGUGUGGUAGGGGAGAUCGGAAUUCCUGGUGUAGCGGUGAAAUGCGCAAAUAUCAGGAGGAAC
rnacentral:rRNA from 1 species